CAACAAAUUAAAUUCUCUCUUCCCCCAAUCCAUACUCUGUUACAAAUUCCUUCUCUUUUCUCGUUCCUAAUCAUCUCAUAAUUAAUUUCUUCUCUCAAUUGAUAUUGGACAAUGGAAUCGUCACUCUUCACUCCAAUUUUCCAGGAGAAUAUCACUGUACACUGUUAAAUAAAGUUUUCAUUGAGUUUACAAACUUUGUUGUAGUCAAGACUACUGGAAAAUGGUGAUGAUUAGUUGGAGAAAAUGGCAUUUAGAGUAACACAAGGUGGAAAAUCUCCAGGUGUAUAGAAGGCAUUGCUUGAAGUUAUCAACCCAUACAGGGGAACAAGUCUUCUUCAAAGAUGGAUGAUCAAGUGCUACUUUGACAGAUAUUCUCUCACUGGGAUGAAUAAUGUUAUUCAUACACCCAAUUGUUACACCAAUACUUACACCCAACAGUAUUUUACAGUAGUCACUAAAUUUAGUUAAUGCAGUGUAAAAACUUGGUUAAUGCAGUAAUAAAGUUGGUUAAUGCAACAUCCAGGUAUUAAAAAGAAUUUUCAGCAGACAUCAAACUUGGUUAAUGUAGUGUAAAAACUUGGUUAAUUAAGUAAUAAAGUUGGUUAAUGCAACA